GCUGCGGGACGCGGCGCAAAGCUAGAGAAGCUAUCGCGAUCGUGUGAAAUCCGCUCAGAAAGAACCAGAUAACCGGAGGACCACAAACAAGAAGGAAGAAAAUAAAUACCCCACAGCCAAAGGUAGCCACCGACGUCGACGACGCUGAGGAUACGAGGAACAGAUGAGGCUGCUCCUUCCCAGCUGCCUGUGAGGACAACAACACAAAGGUUGCCAGGACCUGCGCUGCCCUUGAAAGGAGCUGUAUACUGGGGACAGGCGG